AGUUUUCACUUUAAUGGAUCCUUCGGGUUACUCAAAUUCAUUUAGGGUUUGUAGGGGGUCCUGAUUUUGUUCAAAUUGUAAUGAUAAACCUUAAAUGGGAGUAUUCUUUCUUAGGGUUCCGUUCAGAUUGAAGAUCCGAACACGAAUUUCUGAAGAUUUGUCACCAUUGGUAUCUCUUUUUACCGAAGAUUCGAACACGAAUUACCGGGUUUCGUUACCACGCUUAUCUUGACUUGAAUUCUUCGGACGGAGGAACGCUUCAUGUCAAACUUUCGGAAGGACUCAGCUGAGGAUUGCAGCUUAGAUUUACAACCUGUAAUUAAGUACAGACAAAAUGGUGUUGUCUUGUUACACAUCUAUUGUAUUUCUGAUGUGUUGGUAUGCUUUUAAUAUUGGGUUUUUGGGUGUGACAAGGUAUUGACUGUUCGAAUCUGGGUCAAUACAGAAGAACACCACCAAGCUGGUUGGAACUUUUCUUCUCCUGAUGUUGAAGAUAACACAUGUAAGUUCGCAAAGAACUGGUUGACUCCAUCUCAGAUUGAUGUCAUUCUCAGGGAUUCACAUGGUUUAAGAGUUUUGCAUAUUCUUAAGGCUCAUGUUGCAGAAUGCCGAUCUCCUGGACAGUGAAAUCAUAUAUGACAGAGAUUUUGACUGAUUAUUUUGGUUUCAAAACCCUUGAAAGAUCCUACCUGUUGAAGGUGCAAGGCAAGGUUGUAGAAGACCACAACAUAUGUUGAUGAGAGUUGCUGUUGGAAUCCGCAAAGACAAUAUUGAUUCUGUUCUCAGAACAUAUCAUCUAUGCCACAACGUUGGUUUACCCAUGCUUCUCCUACUCUUUUCAAUCUAGGGACACUCAGGCCUCAAUUGAGUAGCUGCUUCCUUGUGUGCAUGAAAGAGCACAGUAUUGAAGGAAUAUAUGGAACUUCGAAGGAGUAUGCUGUUAUUAGUAAAUCUGCUGAAGGAAUUGGAGUUUCUGUGCACAACAUCUGUACCACUGGUAGUUAUAUCUUUGGUACUAAUGGAACAUCUAUUGGAAUUGUUCCAAUGCUAUGAGUAUUCAAUGACACUGCCCGUUGUGUUGAUCAAGGAUGACGUAAUGUCUUCUGCCUUGAUAUACUUUCUUGUGUUAGCUUCCUGUACAGGUACUUGGAUGUGCAUAUAUUAGGUUUCUAUUGUUGACCCAAUAUUGUUAACCCUGGAUUUUUCCGGGUUGAGACUCUGUAAAAAGCUAUUAUCAAUCGUUCAUUCAGGUGAUAUUGCUGUCUACCUAGAGCCAUGGCAUGCCGCUGUUUUCGAGUUCCUAGACCUAAGGAAGAAUCAUAGAAACAUAUUGUUGGAUGAUUUAUUGAUUUCACCUGCCGUCAGAAUUUGUCCAAUAAGUGAUGUAAGUGGCAGUAACAUAGAAUAGGAAUUCCUAUAACGUCUUUAUAAUUGAACGUCUGGAUUCUGCCUUGCAGGAUACUGUAUUUUGGUUGUCUCUGAAUAUUUUGUAUAAACCUUCGAAAUACACACAAGAGCAAGCUGCAGUUAGAGCAUCCUCAGGAGAUUUCAGCCUGCGCAUUCUGUCAAUAGCGGGUGCCUCGCUGCCGGGUCUUCUGAAAUAUAGCUGACAGUGAUUCUUAAUGAGCUGGUCUGCACAAAGAUACAGCCUAAUUCUGAUCGAUAGAGUUCAUUUGAUUGAGAAAGACAAGCUUGUUGGGUUUGUUCUAGAUUGUCAGUUUGUGAGCAUGAUCAGAGUUGUGUUCAAAAAUAUGUUGGAUAAAGAGAAUUGAGAUGGGCCAGAUGAUGCUGUUGAUGUUUUCCUUACAUAUUUUGGUGUUGUUCUGGCACGGCUGCGCUUCAAAAAAAAAAAAAAAGACUCAGCCUAACAAGCAAACCCUGUAUUAACAACUUCCAAUCCAAUGUGCUUUCUUUUUUAAAGAGCGAAAUUUUUUUAGUUUGACAACUCAUGUAGAUGCUUGUACUACCACAACACUGUUAAUUUUUAAGUUCUUGGAAGUCCAAUAGUGUUUUUGAUAUGUACACAAGCUUUGUUCGCAUGGUGAUUUUAAACCCGCAUAAUCAUAUGCACUCACCUGGGCACAUGUGCACCAUUAAGCAUUAGAAAAUCAUCAUCCAACUUCAAGUAUAUUGUGUGACAUCAGUUUAUUCAUACUGAUACUAAAUUCCUUGCUGAUGCUAAAAUAAGCUUGUUCACUAUGUAUAUUUGCAGUAUUAGAGCCACGUGUGGGUUGGAUUUAGAGAGGAUUCGCUUUCAUGGUUCAGAUUCUCCUCAAUCUGCUGCCAGGGAGAUCCUUCUUCUUUCUUUGGGGAGGUGUCGUUACAGGGUGACAGUUGCUUUUCAGUAAAGCGACAACUUGUAACAUAGAGAAGCAGCUGUAAACUGGAGAGUGUGGACCAAGUUGAAGAAAAUCUUUUGCCAUGAGUCUAGAGUCCAACCAACCAUCUUCAGCAUCAGUUUUCAGUAGCUGGUUGUAUAUGAAUGAAUAAUUACUCUUUUGUACUUUAAUCAACACUAAUUGUUCCAUCUACGGGCUGUAUAAUUCUUCUAUGUACGGACAUCCAUUGUGUCUGUGUCCCGACAUCCAUCAUUUGAAUAUCCAUAAGGUGGAGCACCUUUUUUCGUACUUGAUAAAAUGACGACCGCUGCAUUACUGUUGAAAUUAUGACUGAUAUGCUCACAAAAUUCUAAGUCAAAUGCCUGACACACAGAAUCUACCUGAUAUCUAGGGAAGUAGCCCUCUUAUUAGGAAAUGGUGCAGAAAUGCACGAAUAUUUUUCUUUUUAUUCUCAUAAAAAUUCGACUGAUUCUGGAGAGUUAAAAAGGAGGCCAUCAGUGAUUGGGUGGAACGGAGGGCACAUGGAAAUCUUGGUACAGAGGAUCCAGAGCAACAACAACUACUGAACCCAAAAUGGGAGGAAAUUUUCACGUGUACUUGUCGUUGAUUUUCUUAAUAGCCUCUCUAGCUAGCCUUCCCUAAAUGGGAGGAAAUUUUUAGCGGGUCAGUCAUGCGCUUGUUCUUCCCUUUCUACUUAGUUGAGUCAUGUAAUUUUUCUUCUUAUAGAUAGGUAAGUCAUGUAAUUUUUCUUUUUUUAAAGCAUAUAUAUAUAUAUACACGAUUGUGGCAGCUCUUUUGGAUUAAGAAUUAAAUCAUAAAUCCAUUUUUUUCUUUUUGAGAGUUGUAUCCGAGCAAAAUCACAAACUGCAUAAACUAUUUAUAUAUAUAAUGAAAAGUCAAUUAUUAUUUGCCUUGUUUCUUUCUAUUAGACUAUUGGUAAUGGUUGCUUCAGAGGAGAUUGACGACGCCUAUUGCCCUGUGGAUGAAGAAGAUAAAAUACGUCAAGCCUACUAUAUCGGU